rnacentral:rRNA from 1 species
CCUACGGGGUGCAGCAGUGAGGAAUAUUGGUCAAUGGACGAGAGUCUGAACCAGCCAAGUAGCGUGAAGGAUGACUGCCCUAUGGGUUGUAAACUUCUUUUAUAUGGGAAUAAACUGUUCCACGUGUGGGAUUUUGUAUGUACCAUAUGAAUAAGGAUCGGCUAACUCCGUGCCAGCAGCCGCGGUAAUACGGAGGAUCCGAGCGUUAUCCGGAUUUAUUGGGUUUAAAGGGAGCGUAGGUGGAUUGUUAAGUCAGUUGUGAAAGUCUGCGGCUCAACCGUAAAAUUGCAGUUGAAACUGGCAGUCUGGAGUACAGUAGAGGUGGGCGGAAUUCGUGGUGUAGCGGUGAAAUGCUUAGAUAUCACGAAGAACUCCGAUUGCGAAGGCAGCUCACUGGACUGCAACUGACACUGAGGCUCGAAAGUGUGGGUAUCAAACAGGAUUAGAUACCCCGGUAGUC